rnacentral:piRNA from 1 species
UCAGAGUGUGUGCUUUUCUCACAGACAGA